GACGGAGGAUGCAAGCGUUAUCCGGAAUUAUUGGGCGUAAAGCGUCCGCAGGUGGUUUCACAAGUCUGCUGUUAAAGACUGGGGCUUAACUCCAGAGCGGCGGUGGAAACUGUGAGACUAGAGUGUGGUAGGGGCAGGGGGAAUUCCAGGUGUAGCGGUGAAAUGCGUAGAUAUCUGGAAGAACACCAGUGGCGAAGGCGCUCUGCUGGGCCAUAACUGACACUGAGGGACGAAAGCUAGGGGAGCGAAAGGG
rnacentral:rRNA from 1 species